AUGUUCCUUAGCGAAGGGGUGAGACAGGGCGAAGAAAACCUCGGCGCAGCUGAACCACUGCGGGGGAGCGUGUUGGGCCGGGGCGAAGGCAGCCAGGGAUGGAAGAGUCCCCGGGCCACCGCAGGAGCAGUGAGGCCUCCAGGGAAGCCACCUCUGAUCCGCACCGGCGGAUUUAUGGAGCCAGAGAAAGGUGAGUGGUCGAACUUUGCCUUCACCUUGCUCAGCAGAGCAGCAGGAAUUCGAUUUCUGGGGCAAGGCUGA
rnacentral:lncRNA from 1 species